UGGUAGAUGAAAAUGACACUUGCCUGGUGUA
rnacentral:piRNA from 1 species